ensembl:lncRNA
UCUUCGUCCAAAAAAAUGAUGAAGGAGAGAGGAAUCAGAAAACAACCAUUCCUUGUGUUCAGGAGUUAAGUCUUUCCAGAAUAUGACAGAAGUGGUGGAAAAUACUUCAUUUGGCAUGGAAGAAGUACCAAGAAGUCAUUUUCCAAUUCAUUUCAGUCUAUCCAGGAAAAUCAGAAACUCUGACAGCAAAAAAAAUCAUCAUCGUCACCACCAGUGACUACAUUGGAAAGUCAAUUUGCAGGUUAUUUAACAAACAUUUAUGUGACUGGGAAGGGAGAAGUCUAUACUUAAAAGUUGCAUUCUUGGAAGUAGCUGGUAUUUUUAUUACAGCAAUACACUGUGUACUUUACUGUUGUUUGACUGGAAAAAUUGGGAAUGAAUGCUAUGAUAUGAGAGUUCUUUUUCCAAUUAAAAAAAAAUCUUUGCAUAUUUUUUACUGUAUUUUUUUAUU